UAACAUCAUUACCAUAAUAGCCAAUGAGAGACUUGAAUGUACACUAUAAAUAUGUAGUUAUUUACAGCCAAAGUUAAAAAGAGAAACGUUUCGUUCCCUGUACUGUUGCGACCCGAUCUCUAAAGAUGAACUCGAGAGCCUUCCUUAUCCUGCUGUGCUUGUCCUCACUGAUGAUUGCAGACUACUCUGUUCAAGGCCAAAACAAUUGUAUGACAUCCCGUGGGUGCUAUAGAUGCAGAUCGCGAUGUACGGCCAGGGGUUAUUGGACUGGAUCCUGCAAAUACUCCCCUUAUUGUCCAAGAAUAAGUGGAUACUGGUGCGAAUGUGUAGGGAAUCGUGGUUGAUGUAAAAAGAAAAAGAAGAAACCUUUAACACUUCAUAUAAUAAAUUCAACUAUCUAUAUACUAUAGUCGCCUAUACUAUAUAACUGAAUGACAUGAAACCCCACACAUCUGCAAAUGUAUCUCCUACUUUGUGGACAAGCAAAUGAGUAUCUGCAGGUUCCGGAGCGGUAUCCCCUGGCUUUGCAUCCCGAUCUGCAUCCUGAGCACCCAAUACGUGACUUACAAGCACUUAUGCCCUGCACAGAACAGUCAGCAAUCAUCAGCGAGAACAGACACACCAUUACAAGCAAGGCUCCUGAGUUCAUCUACCGAAAACUAUUGAAGAUAAAUUAUCUGAUUCAUUUUAGUAAUCAAUUCACUUAACUGUUGAAUAAAUGAUUUUUAGCGUCUCCUAAAUGUCAUCCACACUGAUUUGACUACAUGUAAAACAAUACGAUGCUAUUGGAAGUAGGAUGAUUAAUUCUGCAUUUUGUGUCAUUUGCAUACCGAACUAAAUCCAUCUGAAGGCAGACGUUAUCAUCUGUGCAAGAACGGAAAACACAAUUACGAUUAAAUAAUAAAUUUGAAGAAAUCA